UGGCCGCCCAGCUCAGGAUCAGGAUCGGUUCUCCCGUCGCCGUCGCUCAGGUCAGUCCUUGCCGUCGCCCGCCAGAAUCCUGCGACCUGACGCGCCGGAACCCCUCGCCUGCCUUCUGCUCGGCAGGAUGUGGCGGACCUGACCCGCCGAACUCCCCCUGCCUUCCGCUCCCCAGGAAGCGGCGGGGCGUGGCAUCCAGCUCCCACUCCCGAUCCAUCUCCGGUUGAUCGGUGUUGGACCUGCUGCAGCAAGGCACCGAUUCUCUACACCUUCUACUCCAACCGCUUCCUGUAGUUAAUAACGGGAAAGGCAGAUUUCUCGGAUGACUCGUCAUCACUGAUGUCCUCCAGCGCAGCGAGUCAGGUGUUAAACUGUUUUUGUCCUCCGAAUGACUGGGUUAGCAAGCCACCGGCGCUUACUUUGAAUUCAACCUCGGUCAGUACUCAGUACCUCAACCACCUCUCUAAUUACGUUAGCUCAAAAUGUCAUUCUUAUUUCCUUUUUUGUGAAAUCUAUGGAUCUAUUGCAUCACAUACUGAAGAAUUUCAGAGCCACUAUGCCAUGCUCUCUUUGUAUAUGAAGGGUUCCAGCGUAUGCCUAAACAGUGCUCAUAAACUCUGUAAAGGAAAUUUAGUUUUAGGCACUGCAUACAUAAAUAGGACAUUACUUUAUGUUCUAUGAUUUGCACACAGAACUGUCAUUGAUCAAAUCAGAUGAUAAGAAAUAAAAAUUAAGUUGUCGGAUACUA